rnacentral:lncRNA from 1 species
AUGAAAACAAGGGCACGCUCUCGUGCCAAAGCACUGUAGGAAAUAAGGAAGGGGGAAGAGGGAGCUGAGAUUUAUGAAAGCGGCUUCAGCUGGGGCCCACCUAAUGUGGCCUUUUUUUUUUUCUGACUAUGGCCCAUCGGGCAUACAACCACGGAGUGGGAAAUCGCCUUAGUCCCAAACCCCCUUCUUUUACAGGUGAGGAAACCAAGAGCAGACAGGAAGUGACCUGUGUCUUCUUUUCCUGUCCUGAUGCUCCCCGACUUAUUGCCUUACUUCUCAAAGAUUUGUCUGGCCCCGCACAAAGUUCAAGUCUUCUCUGAAAUGCUCCCACUUUGGGCCCAAUCCAUCAGAAUAUACUUCCCCUUGAGGAUGGCUCUGAGCCUUGCAAAGUGACAAUUAACAAAAUGGUUUUCAGAGACCCUUAGAACAUUACUUCUCAAGUAACAUAUAUGGCAUUUAACCUCUUUCCUUUUUUGGAGCUGAUCCCUACUUUUAUCAUUCAACCAAGACAACUGGGAGCUAAGUGGGAGAAGGAAUUCCAUAGCAGAUAUGAUCCAUGAAUCAUCAGAAGGAUUUUUUUAGGUAGGUGGGGUUUUGCAGUGCCAAUCAAAUCAUUCCAUUUAGACACCUCUGCAGCCUGUCCUCUCCAUACUCCACUUACCAUGCUCCAGGUCUCCAUCCUGAAAUCUCCAGCAUUCACACUUUAAAAGUACCUUCAUAGCACCUACCUCCCAGCGUUAUUGCAAGGAUCAAAAGAGAUAAUAUUUAUAAAGCACUUAACACAGUGCCCAGAACACAGUGAGUGCUUAAGAAAUGCUUAUGAAGUUUAAACAUGAAGAGAUAGCCUAUGAUGGUUCCUGGGUGACUUGUCAAGGACCUUAAACUCCUCGAUGUCAGAAAUCAUGACUUCUACCUCUGUUGCACUGGUUCAUAGCACCUAGCCUAGCUACAAUAGGUAGCUGCCAAGGCAAUGGCUUUCAGAGCCCUUGUUGAAUUCCUGAAUAAAGUUAUGUAACUUGAUUACA